UACGUAGGCAGCAAGCGUUGUUCGGAAUUACUGGGCGUAAAGAGUGUGUAGGCGGUGCUCUAAGUUCGGUGUGAAAUCUCCCGGCUUAACUGGGAGGGUGCGCCGGAAACUGGAGUGCUUGAGCGCGGGAGAGGAAAGCGGAAUUCCUGGUGUAGCGGUGAAAUGCGUAGAUAUCUGGAGGAACACCGGUGGCGAAGGCGGCAUCCUGGACCAACACUGACGCUGAGGAGCGAAAGCCAGGGGAGCAAACGGG
rnacentral:rRNA from 1 species